AGUGAACGCUGGCGGUAGGCCUAACACAUGCAAGUCGAACGGCAGCACAGUAAGAGCUUGCUCUUACGGGUGGCGAGUGGCGGACGGGUGAGGAGUACAUCGGAAUCUACUUUUUCGUGGGGGAUAACGUAGGGAAACUUACGCUAAUACCGCAUACGACCUACGGGUGAAAGCAGGGGAUCUUCGGACCUUGCGCGAUUGAAUGAGCCGAUGUCGGAUUAGCUAGUUGGCGGGGUAAAGGCCCACCAAGGCGACGAUCCGUAGCUGGUCUGAGAGGAUGAUCAGCCACACUGGAACUGAGAAACGGUCCAGACUCCUACGGGAGGCAGCAGUGGGGAAUAUUGGACAAUGGGCGAAAGCCUGAUCCAGCCAUACCGCGUGGGUGAAGAAGGCCUUCGGGUUGUAAAGCCCUUUUGUUGGGAAAGAAAAGCAGCAGGUUAAUACCCCGCUGUUCUGACGGUACCCAAAGAAUAAGCACCGGCUAACUUCGUG
rnacentral:rRNA from 1 species